GACCUGGUGGUGGAGUUGGAUCCAUAUCUACUUUCUGUAAAGCCAUAUUUGGAAGAUAUAAGCAGUAGACCCUCGUUCGAAUCGGGGCCAGGUCA